CUACGGAGCCAGAGAAGAGAGAGAGGGAGAGAGAGAGAGAGAGAGAGAGAGAGAGAGAUGGAGUUCGUAGAGAAAGGAGAAGAACCGGCGGCGCUCAUCACCACCACCGCCAUCGUUCGUUACAACCACCAGCAUCGCCAUCUCUCCCGUCCCCCAUUGCUUGUAACCACCACCAUCGCUUCUCAGAUCCGUCUUCACCAGAGUCGCCACCACCACCGUCACGCUCAUCAUAACCACAACUGAUCAAAGUCCAAGAGGGAUGAGUAUGCCAAAACUGUCUCCAAACGUUUGCAAGAUAUUGUUUAAGCUUGUCUGAUUUGUUUGUUUAGAGUGUUUGCUCAAAUUACUCAACUUUCUUAUGGUUGUUGCUGGACUUGGCAUGAUCGUUUAUGGUAUCUACUUGUUUGUCAAGUACAAGAGAGCACCCGAUGAUAACUCUCUUAAAUUCAACGGCGACGGCCAGAGUUACAUCUCUUUCGGGAGGCCCAUGCUUAGGGCAGUCUCUCUCUCUUCCAAUGUCUUUGACAAUCUCCCCAAAGUUUGGUUUAUCUACUUGUUCAUUGGGUGGCUCUGUUUGUUAUCUCUGGUGGAAGCUUGAUGAAGGUGCUCAGACUUUGAGGAAGGUGGAAGCUUGAUGGAGGUGCUCGAUGCCAUUCAAAGGAGAUAUCUUGCUGGUGUUUGAAGUGUCGAUAGUGGAUAAUGUUGUAUGCACUUGUGUGUGAUGAUUUGUAUGAAAGUGAUAAUGUGGUGUUAUGGGA